rnacentral:rRNA from 1 species
UACAGAGGGUGCGAGCGUUAAUCGGAAUUACUGGGCGUAAAGCGUGCGUAGACGGUUAUUUAAGUCGGGUGUGAAAGCCCCGGGCUCAACCUGGGAAUUGCAUUCGAGACUGAAUAGCUAGGGUACGGUAGAGGGAAGUGGAAUUUCCGGUGUAGCGGUGAAAUGCGUAGAUAUCGUAAGGAAGACCAGUGGCGAAGGCGGGUCUCUGGACAGUUCCUGACGCUGAGGCACGAAGGCCAGGGGAGCAAACGGG